UACGUAGGGGGCUAGCGUUGUCCGGAUUUAUUGGGCGUAAAGAGCUCGUAGGCGGUUUGUCGCGUCUGCUGUGAAAACGCGAGGCUCAACCUCGCGCCUGCAGUGGGUACGGGCAGACUAGAGUGCGGUAGGGGAGAUUGGAAUUCCUGGUGUAGCGGUGGAAUGCGCAGAUAUCAGGAGGAACACCGAUGGCGAAGGCAGAUCUCUGGGCCGUAACUGACGCUGAGGAGCGAAAGCGUGGGGAGCGAACAGGAU
rnacentral:rRNA from 1 species